rnacentral:lncRNA from 1 species
UAUUUGACUACUGGAUGUGCAAUCAAAAUUACACCAUCUAGCUUGCUUGCACAUAUAUAUAUAUAUAUAUAUAUAUAUAUUUGUGUGUGAGUGUGAGAAGCAUUAGUGAUGACAAAGUGCACGUCACAAAUCAACCAAGAAAUAAUUCCACCACAUGGUUAAAAAUGCUGCAAAUUUAAAACCAUGCGAGUUUUUAGAAGGGUUUUCUAAAAGGUGGUCGAAAGUUGGUCGCUGCAAGUCAUUUAGGCCAGUUAAAAGGUGAUGCAUGCAACGCACAGAAGAAUCUUGUUGUCAAAGAAAGCUAAAUCCAUCCAUGCUUUCGUAUGUGAGCAACUUGGAAACGCAAACCCACAAGCCAGAUGGAUAAGCCCUGGCUUCGAUUUUACAGUGUGAAAAUGAUGGGUUACAAAAAGCAAAUGAGAUUUACGAUAAAGUUUUAAGGGCCAUCGUUUUUGCACGUUGUACUUUGAAGCCCUCACACAUGCACUUUGCAAAAUUUGGUUUGCUCCACCCAACUUAUGCGAUUACGUGUGGUUUGAAUAAUAAUUUAUGCUAACUUACAGAGAGGCUAGCCAGUUUUCCUUCACAUGUCAGAGGUCAUGCAAUUGUGGCUUUGCCCAAGUCUGUUAGAGGAGGAGGAGGAAAUUAGGCCUGUUAUGUGGAAUAUUGCUCGACCUUAUCAUAUAAUAAACAUGUUUGGCAAAAGCAGCCCUCAUCCUCACAAUUUGUAAUAAUCUCCCUUGGGAUGGUUUGGUAUGUUAUGUGCCUAGUGAUCAAAACUUCCACUAGACAUGAUAAAUCUAGGGCUAGUAUAGUUUUUACAUUCACUUUCUCUCUCCCACACCCUACAAUUUUCUCUUCUUCUUUACCUAUAUAUUGCAAUUUCCAUAACAUUGUCUAACCCAGUAAAAAAUGACCUUGAUUUGUAGACCAGUAGUUUCAGGCGAAUCCCAGUUCCAUCACAUUGUAAAAACUUAUUACAUGUGCACAUUCAUAACCUGUGCAUGAUGUUUCUAGAUUGACUGAAUCUGAGUGAAAUGUGUGGCAAGUGUAAUACUUUUCCUAAGUG